CCUGGCCCUGGAGGUGUUGCUUGUGUGGAUGCUGUGUCACAUGUGUGUCAGUAGGUGGCAGAAAGGAGUGAGGCUAUGUCUGUGCUGUGUUUUGACAUAUGAACAUCUGAAUGAUUAGUAACCUAACACU